rfam:Bacterium K02(2017) isolate K02 NODE_5_length_62320_cov_180.561, whole genome shotgun sequence.
CCGUGGACUGAAGUCCACGGCUACCACUGUGCCGUCCUUACAGGACU